AAAUACAUUAUAUUCCUCAAUAUAUUCUACCUUCCCAAAUUCUCACUUACACAAAAGUGGCCCACCUUUCGUGCAAAGUAUAUACGUCUUUUUUAUAUACCUCUAUAUAGUAUAUAUGUUACGGUAAAAACACGAAAACCGGUAAAUCCUAGACUUUAUCAACUGUGGUCGGUACAUGUCCUGAUUUCGGACAUUACUGAUUUCAGUAAAACUCAGGAUACGCUAAAUAGUUUGGUCUAACCACGAAUGAUUUAUGUAAUUCGUACUUUUACAAAUAAGAUUUGGUAAAUCUUAGGAUAAACAACCGCCAUUGGUAAAAGUCCGAAAUUGUUUACCAAUUAAUUUUACACAGCUUAAUUUUUUUUUUUUUAAAGACCAUGUAUAUUUUCUUAAUCGCUAUACUGUUACAUACUGUUAAAAAAAAUGUAUGUUAUGAUUCUCAAGGCAUGCAUUUUAAAGUUGUCUGAAAGUUCAUAAUGAUUAAAUAAAAAGGUUGGAAAAUGUGAACUGUAAAAUAAAAAUACUUAGCAUUUAAACUAUAAUAGAUAGAUAGGUAGAAAAUAUAAUAUGCUUGUGACCUUUGUGUUAUCAGCUUCAAUAAAAUAAAUCGAUAGUAUUUUGUAAGAACAUAUGCCAAACAAAUCUAAACAUGAGUUGGUACCUACAUCAACGUUUUUCGUCAAUUUUUGAUUUUCCAUGCAGUUUUCAUAAUAGUUGUGAAAAACCA